UUGCAUCGUUUUUCAAUAUAACUGGAAGCUGUUUUAUCACUUUGUAUUUUGAGAACCGCUCCCUUUCCCGCACACGCAUUGCUGCCGCCUCUCGGGCUUGGUUAAUGAGUCUGUGCGCCAAGCCAGGUCGCUCCAGGCAGUUCGCGCUUCCGCGCCUCGGCACUCGGAUGACCGUGUCCUAUUCGUCUCUCUGGUGAAUGUCGCUGAAAAAAAAUAAAAGUUUGUUCUAAGCCCGUGGCAUUUCCGCGCGCAGAUGGAAAGUUUUCUGUGUAUCCCAAAACAGGUAGCAGUGUCCUUGCAGGCACUGGAUGGAUGGAUGAAGGCACUCUCCCAGGCUUCCAACUCUU
rnacentral:lncRNA from 1 species